rnacentral:lncRNA from 1 species
UACCAAAGUACUCCCUCCCCGGAAGCUAGGAUACCAAGGGAUCCCCUUCCGAGAAGCCAGGCUACCACAGGACUCCCUUCUCGGAAACCAGGCUACCAAAGGACUCCAGUCCCAGAAGUUAGGCUACCAAAGUACUCCCUUCCCAGAAGCUAGUAUACCAAGGGGUCCCCUCCCGGAAGCCAGGGUACCACAGGACUCCCUUCCAGGAAACCAGGCUAUCAAAGGACUCCAUUCCCGGAAGCUAGGCUACCAAAGUACUCCCUUCCCGGAAGCUAGGAUACCAAGGGAUCCCCUUCCCGGAAGCCAGGCUACAACAGGACUUCCUUCCCGGAAACCAGGCUACCAAAGGACUCCAUUCCCGGAAGCUAGGCUACCAAAGUACUCUCUUCCCGGAAGCUAGCAUACCAAGGGAUUCCCUUCCCGGAAGCCAGGCUACCACAGGACUCCCUUCUCGGAAAAUAGGCUACCAAAGGACUCCAUUCCCGCAAGCAAGGCUACCAAAGUACUCCCUUCCCGGAAGCUAGGAUACCAAGGGAUCCCCUUCCCGGAAGCCAGGCUAACACAGGAAUCCCUUCCCGGAAACCAGGCUACCAAAGGACUCCAUUCCCGGAAGCAAGGCUACCAAAGUACUCCCUUCCAUGAAGCUAGGAUACCAAGGGAUCCCCUUCCCGGAAGCCAGGCUACCACAGGACUCCCUUCCUGGAAACCAGGCUACCAAAUUACUCUAUUCCCGGAAACUAGGCUACCAAAGUACUCCCUUCCCGGUAGCUAGGAUACCAAGGGAUCCCCUUCCCGUAAGCCAGGCUACCAAAGGACUCCCUACCCGGAAACCAGCCUACCUAAGGACUCCAUUCCCAGAAGCUAGGCUACCAAAGUACUCCCUUCCUGGAAGCUAGGAUACCAAGGGAUCCACUUUCCCAAAGCCAGGCUACCACAGGACUCUCUUCCCGGAAACCAGGCUACCAAAGGACUCCAUUCCCGGAAGCAAGGCUACCAAAGUACUCCCUUCCCCGAAGGUAGGAUACCAAGGGAUCCCCUUCCCGGAAGCCAGGCUACCACAGGACUCCCUUCCCGGAAACAGGGCUACCAAAGGACUCCAUUCUCGGAAACUAGGCUAUCAAAGUACUCCCUUCCCGGAAGCUAGCAUACCAAGGAUCCCCUUCCCGGAAGCCAGGCUACCACAGGACUCCCUUCCCAGAAACCAGGCUACCAUCGGACUCCAUUCUCGGAAGCUAGGCUACCAAAGUACUCCCUUCCCGGAAAAUAGGAUACCAAGGGAUCCCCUUCCCAGAAGCCAGGCUACCACAGGACUCCUGUCCCAGAAGCUAGUCUACCACAGGCCUGUCUUCCUGGAAGCUAGGCUCCCACAGUAUUUCCUUUGCAAAAGCCAAACUACCACAGGACUCCCUUCCUGGUAGUUCCCUUCCCUGAAGCUAGGCUAUCAAAGGAUUUCUUUCCCAGAAGCUAGACAACCACAGGACUCCUUUCCCUAAAGCCAGGCUACCAUAAUACUCCCUUCCCGGAAGCUAAGCUACCACAGGACUCCCUUCCUGGAUGCCACGCUACCACAGGAUUCCCUUUCUGGAUGCUAGGCUACUCCCCAGGACUCCAUUCCCAAAUGCUCGGCUACCACAGGACUCCCUUCCUGGAAGCUAGGCUGGAAGGUACUCCCUUCCCGGAAGCUAGGCUACCACAAGACUCCCUUAUCGGAAGCUAGACUACCUCAGAACUCCCUUCCCCGAAGCUAGGCUAUCACACAACUCCCUUCUUGGAAGCCAGGCUACCAUAGGACUCCCUUCCCGGAAGCCAGGGUACCACAGGACUCUCUUCCCAGAAGCCAAGCUACUACAGCACUCCCUUCCUGGAAGCCAGGCUACCACAAGACUCCAUUCCUGGAAUCCAGGCUACCCAAAGACUCUCUUCCCGGAAGUUAACUACCACAGGACUCCCUUCCCAGAAGCUAGGCUACCACACGACUCCCUUCCCGGAAUCUUUUACUGUAUCUGUGCAUCAACUAUCUCACCUAAAAGACUUCUAGACAUUAACAAAAUAUUUUUAUUGUUUAUUCAAAAUUUCACAUAAUAUACCCCAAUCACAUUCACUUCCCAGUUCUCUUAGGUUAACCCCCAACACUUGUUACCUCCCCCAAAACCAAAGAAAAGAAAGAACAAAAUACCAAGUCCAAUUUGUACUGCCAAUUUAUAUUCAUUGGAGCUUGGUCAAACUCCCUGGGGCCAGCCUCUUUAAGAAAACAGAACCGGACAAACAAAAAAAACCCUGAUUCCUUCCCCCUCCUUGCCAGAAGCCAUCAACUUUAGAGCUAUACUUUAGCAUCCCCAGAGUGGUAGAAUUCUAGUUAGGGCAAUUACAGUAGGAAAACUAGGAUGCCUUGGGCCACAGAGAUGGCUCAGCAGGAAAGUGCCUGCCAGGCAAACAAGAUGGUGCAAAUUCAAUUUCUCAAGCCCAGAGUGGAAAGAGACAAUCAGUGUAAUCUUCUUGGAACUGCACCAUGCACACAUAUCCCCUCCACUCCAACACACGAUAAUAAAAUAAUUUGUUAAAGAAGAAAAUCUUGGGCAGGAGAGAUGGCUCAGAGGUUAAGAGCACUGUGACUGCUCUUCCGAGGGCCCCGAGUUCAAAUCCCAGCAACCACAUGGUGGCUCACAACCAUCGUAAUGAGAUCUGAUGCCUUCUUCUGGUGUGUCGGAAGACAGCUAGACUGUAUUUACAUAUACUAAUAAAUAAAUCUUUGGGCCAGAGUGAGAGGGGCUGGAGCAAGCAGUGGUCCUGAGUUCAAUUCCUAGCAAACACAUGAUGGCUCACAACCAUCUGUGCAGCUACAGUUCUCAUAUACAUAAAAUACGUAAAUAAAUCUUUAAAAAAAAAAAAGAAAGAAAGAAAAUCUAGGUGUUUCAUGAUGCUAAACAUGUGGUCUUUGGAGCCUACCAUAUAUAUUAACACCCCCAAGUGGCUAUCCACAAACAAGACAUAAGCUUUUGGAAUAAAAAGUACUGUCAGAAAAAUAGUGGGCACUAAUUUGGCAUCAAUAGUUGCCAUUAAGUGAAAAGCGGAAGGAAGCCUGAGGAUUCCAAGCCCCAGGCAUUCUCAGGGUAACCGCUCUUAGGAGGAGAGCGGGAGAGAGCUGUGAAAAGCUCCCAUUUUCAUUCCCUCUCAGAUCUUACAUAUACAGUACUGGGCUAAUGAGAGGAAACUCAUGGGGACACGUGGAAGAGAACAAAAGGAGUGCAUAUAUUCAAACCCCUCAAAACCAUUCCCAAAAUAAAUGCAUCCCAAGUGAGAUUUCUAUCAUGAUCAUCAACCAAACUACAAAGUGCCAAAUUCAGCUCUUAAAAAGAACGUUAACGUUAACCAGUGCUGACUCUACUUUCUGCUUCCCUUAGCAGAGCAGAGGCUAUCUUAAAAAGAACAUUAACGUUAACCAAUGCUUACUCUACUUUAUGCUUCCCUUAGCAGAGCAGGGGCUAUGUAAGGACAAAACUGUAUCAUCUGUCUAGCCCACCAGAGCACUGUUGAUGAAGGCCACCUAGUGGGGCCUGAGAUGUAGCAAGC